rnacentral:rRNA from 1 species
UACGUAGGGGGCAAGCGUUGUCCGGAAUUAUUGGGCGUAAAGCGCGCGCAGGCGGUGAAUUAAGUCUGAUGUUUAAACCCGGGGCUCAACCUCGGGUCGCAUUGGAAACUGGUUGACUGGAGUGCAGGAGAGGAAAGUGGAAUUCCACGUGUAGCGGUGAAAUGCGUAGAGAUGUGGAGGAACACCAGUGGCGAAGGCGACUUUCUGGCCUGUAACUGACGCUGAGGCGCGAAAGCGUGGGGAGCAAACAGG